GGGGCAGAGUGACAGGUGGUGCAUGGUUGUCGUCAGCUCGUGUCGUGAGAUGUUGGGUUAAGUCCCGCAACGAGCGCAACCCUUGAUCUUAGUUGCCAGCAUUCAGUUGGGCACUCUAAGGUGACUGCCGGUGACAAACCGGAGGAAGGUGGGGAUGACGUCAAAUCAUCAUGCCCCUUAUGACCUGGGCUACACACGUGCUACAAUGGGCAGAACAAAGGGCAGCGAAGCCGCGAGGCUAAGCCAAUCCCACAAAUCUGUUCUCAGUUCGGAUCGCAGUCUGCAACUCGACUGCGUGAAGCUGGAAUCGCUAGUAAUCGCGGAUCAGCAUGCCGCGGUGAAUACGUUCCCG
rnacentral:rRNA from 1 species